UGGUGCAUGGUUGUCGUCAGCUCGUGUCGUGAGAUGUUGGGUUAAGUCCCGCAACGAGCGCAACCCCUAUUGUUAGUUGCCAUCAUUCAGUUGGGCACUCUAGCGAGACUGCCGGUAAUAAACCGGGGGAAGGUGGGGAUGACGUCAAAUCAUCAUGCCCCUUAUGACCUGGGCUACACACGUGCUACAAUGGUUGGUACAACGAGUUGCGAGUCGGUGACGGCGAGCUAAUCUCUUAAAGCCAAUCUCAGUUCGGAUUGUAGGCUGCAACUCGCCUACAUGAAGUCGGAAUCGCUAGUAAUCGCGGAUCAGCACGCCGCGGUGAAUACGUUCCCGGGCCUU
rnacentral:rRNA from 1 species